rnacentral:rRNA from 1 species
UACGAAGGGGCUAGCGUUGUUCGGAAUCACUGGGCGUAAAGGGCGCGUAGGCGGCUGUUCAAGUCGGGGGUGAAAUCCCGUGGCUCAACCACGGAAUGGCCUUCGAUACUGGACGGCUGGAGACCGGAAGAGGUGAGUGGAACUGCGAGUGUAGAGGUGAAAUUCGUAGAUAUUCGCAAGAACACCAGUGGCGAAGGCGGCUCACUGGUCCGGUUCUGACGCUGAGGCGCGAAAGCGUGGGGAGCAAACAGGG